GGAGACCGCAACCCCUACGUUUAGUUGCUAACGCGUGAAGGCGAGCACUCUAGACGAACUGCCGUUGACAAACGGAGGAAGGUGGGAUGACGUCAAAUCAUCAUGCCCCUUAUGUUCUGGGCUACACACGUGCUACAAUGGCCGGUACAGACGGACGCAAAGCCGCGAGGUGGAGCAAAUCCUAAAAAGCCGGUCUACAGUUCGGAUUGCAGGCUGCAAUUCGCCUGCAUGAAGUCGGAAUCGCUAGUAAUCGCAGGUCAGCAUACUGCGGUGAAUACGUUCCCGGGCCUU
rnacentral:rRNA from 1 species